rnacentral:rRNA from 1 species
AUUGAACGCUAGCGGGAUGCCUUACACAUGCAAGUCGAACGGCAGCACGGACUUCGGUCUGGUGGCGAGUGACGAACGGGUGAGUAAUGUAUCGGAACGUGCCCAGUAGCGGGGGAUAACUACGCGAAAGCGUAGCUAAUUCCGCAUACGCCCUACGGGGGAAAGCAGGGGAUCGCAAGACCUUGCACUAUUGGAGCGGC